UAUCGAUUGAAUUGAACAGUAUAGUUACUCAUACAUGGACUCUAAAGGAAAUCCGUCAAAUGCAUGCCCAUUAAUCAGCAAGAUCAAAAUUAAAACUUCCAAAGCUGGAAAAUUAAUAAACAUGCCCGGACCCGGAGGCAUAGUCACAAAGAGAUAUAGCUUCAAAGGAAGGCGUACCAACGCCAGGGUCAGUGUCGAUGA
rnacentral:misc_RNA from 1 species